UACGGAAGGCAGCAGGUGGGAAUAUUGCACAACUGGGCGCAAGCCUGAUGCAGCCGAUGCCGCGUGUAUGAAGAAGGCCUUCGGGUUGUAAAGUACUUUCAGUCGUGAGGAAGGUGUUAAGGUUAAUAACCUUAGCAAUUGACGUUAGCGACAGAAGAAGCACCGGCUAACUCCGUGCCAGCAGCCGCGGUAAUACGGAGGGUGCGAGCGUUAAUCGGAAUUACUGGGCGUAAAGGGCACGCAGGCGGUUAAUUAAGUUGGAUGUGAAAUCCCCGGGCUUAACCUGGGAAUGGCAUUCAAGACUGGUUAGCUAGAGUCUUGUAGAGGGGGUAGAAUUCCAUGUGUAGCGGUGAAAUGCGUAGAGAUGUGGAGGAAUACCGGUGGCGAAGGCGGCCCCUGGACAAAGACUGACGCUCAUGUGCGAAAGCGUGGGGAGCAAACAGGGAUUAGAUACC
rnacentral:rRNA from 1 species